UUGCUUUCCAAGUUGGAGCAUUUUAGGUGUUUUCUUUCCUUUGAUUUUAAUGUCUAAUUUUAUGUAUCUUUGCUUUAUGAGUAUGAGGAACUAAACCCCUCUUAGUUAGGGGGUGAUUCGAAACCAUGUACAUGCUUGCAAUAUGAUUUGAUUACAUUCAGUUGUUAUUUCAUAAGUUGCGGAUUCAAUUCGUUCAUCUACUUGAUUGAUAGCUUAUUUGUGUAUGUUGAUUGAGAGUGCACGCUUAGUUUUCAUGCAUGAAUAUGAUGCUAGAUUAU
rnacentral:lncRNA from 1 species